rnacentral:rRNA from 1 species
UACGGGAGGCAGCAGUAGGGAAUAUUGGGCAAUGACGCAAGUCUGACCCAGCCAUGCCGCGUGCAGGAUGAAGGCGUUAUGCGUUGUAAACUGCUUUUAUACAGGAAGAAACGACUCUUGCGAGAGGCAUUGACGGUACUGUAUGAAUAAGCACCGGCUAACUCGUGCCAGCCCCGCGGU